AGAAGUUAGUUUAAAACAAAUAGUUGGUUUCGGCCCAGCAGAUCCUAGUUUAGCCUAGGACUUCUC
rnacentral:tRNA from 1 species